rnacentral:rRNA from 1 species
GGAUGCGAUCAUACCAGCACUAACGCACCGGAUCCCAUCAGAACUCCGAAGUUAAGCGUGCUUGGGCGAGAGUAGUACUAGGAUGGGUGACCCCUGGGAAGUCCUCGUGUUGCAUCCCU